rnacentral:rRNA from 1 species
CCUACGGGUGGCAGCAGUGAGGAAUAUUUGUCAAUGGACGAGAGUCUGAACCAGCCAAGCAGCGUGAAGGAUGACUGCCCUACGGGUUGUAAACCUCUUUUAUAUGGGAAUAAAAUGUUCCACGUGUGGGAUUUUGUAUGUACCAUAUGAAUAAGGAUCGGCUAACUCCGUGCCAGCAGCCGUGGUAAUACGGAGGAUCCGAGCGUUAUCCGGAUUUAUUGGGUUUAAAGGGAGCGUAGGUGGUUUGUUAAGUCAGUUGUGAAAGUUUGCGGCUCAACCGUAAAAUUGCAGUUGAAACUGGCAGUCUUGAGUACAGUAGAGGUAAGCGGAAUUCGUGGUGUAGCGGUGAAAUGCUUAGAUAUCACGAAGAACUCCGAUUGCGAAGGCAGUUCACUGGACUGCAACUGACACUGAGGCACGAAAGUGUGGGUAUCGAACAGGAUUAGAUACCCCAGUAGUC